rnacentral:tRNA from 1 species
GGGGUUGUGGCUCAGUAGUAGAGCACUUGCCUGUCAUGUGUAAGGCCUGGGUUCGAUUCUCAGCAACACGU